UUUAGCUUUAAAUAUUAGUUUCGACCUAAUUUUUUUUUCUUGGCUAAUG
rnacentral:tRNA from 1 species